CACCCGCUAGCACAUGGAGUGCAUCUGCGCGAUUUAAAUGAGUGUCCUUCAUCUACUCGCAGAAGGUCCCCCGUUCGAUUCGGGGGUGGGUGA